rnacentral:rRNA from 1 species
UAGGGAAUCUUCCUUCAAUGGGCGAAAGCCUGACGGAGCAACGCCGCGUGAGUGAAGAAGGAUUUCGGUUCGUAAAGCUCUGUUGUUAGGGAAGAAUGAUUGUAUAGUAACUAUAUACAGUAGAGACGGUACCUAACCAGAAAGCCACGGCUAACUACGUGCCAGCAGCCGCGGUAAUACGUAGGUGGCAAGCGUUGUCCGGAAUUAUUGGGCGUAAAGCGCGCGCAGGUGGUUUAAUAAGUCUGAUGUGAAAGCCCACGGCUCAACCGUGGAGGGUCAUUGGAAACUGUUAAACUUGAGUGCAGGAGAGAAAAGUGGAAUUCCUAGUGUAGCGGUGAAAUGCGUAGAGAUUAGGAGGAACACCAGUGGCGAAGGCGGCUUUUUGGCCUGUAACUGACACUGAGGCGCGAAAGCGUGGGGAGCAAACAGGAUUAGAUACCCUGGUAGUCCACGCCGUAAACGAUGAGUGCUAAGUGUUGGUCUCAUAAGAGAUCAGUGCUGCAGCUAACGCAUUAAGCACUCCGCCUGGGGAGUACGACCGCAAGGUUG